rnacentral:rRNA from 1 species
GUGGGGAAUCUUCCGCAAUGGACGAAAGUCUGACGGAGCAACGCCGCGUGAGUGAUGAAGGUCUUCGGAUUGUAAAGCUCUGUUAAUCGGGACGAAAGAGCCUAGUGUGAAUAAUGCUAGGAAGUGACAGUACCGGAAUAGAAAGCCACGGCUAACUACGUGCCAGCAGCCGCGGUAAUACGUAGGUGGCAAGCGUUGUCCGGAAUUAUUGGGCGUAAAGCGCGCGCAGGCGGAUCUGCCAGUCUGUCUUAAAAGUUCGGGGCUUAACCCCGUGAUGGGAUGGAAACUACAGAUCUAGAGUAUCGGAGAGGAAAGUGGAAUUCCUAGUGUAGCGGUGAAAUGCGUAGAUAUUAGGAAGAACACCAGUGGCGAAGGCGACUUUCUGGACGAAAACUGACGCUGAGGCGCGAAAGCCAGGGGAGCGAACGGGAUUAGAUACCCUAGUAGUCC